UACAGAGGUCUCAAGCGUUGUUCGGAUUCAUUGGGCGUAAAGGGUGCGUAGGUGGCGCUGUAAGUCGGGUGUGAAAUUCGUAGCUUAACUCCGAAACUGCAUUCGAUACUGCGGUGCUUGAGGACUGGAGAGGAGACUGGAAUUCAUGGUGUAGCAGUGAAAUGCGUAGAGAUCAUGAGGAAGACCAGUGGCGAAGGCGGGUCUCUGGACAGUUCCUGACACUGAGGCACGAAGGCCAGGGGAGCAAACGGG
rnacentral:rRNA from 1 species